UCCCUGGAAGACUAGUGGUUAGGCCACAGCACUCUCACUGCUGCAGUCCGGGUUCAAUUCCUAGCCAGGGAA
rnacentral:tRNA from 1 species